GCAUAACGCGAAGAACCUUACCCACCUUUGACAUGUACGGAAUCCUUUAGAGAUAGAGGAGUGCUCGAAAGAGAGCCGUAACACAGGUGCUGCAUGGCUGUCGUCAGCUCGUGUCGUGAGAUGUUGGGUUAAGUCCCGCAACGAGCGCAACCCUUGCCAUUAGUUGCUACGAAAGGGCACUCUAAUGGGGCUGCCGGUGACAAACCGGAGGAAGGUGGGGAUGACGUCAAGUCCUCAUGGCCCUUAUAGGGUGGGGCUACACACGUCAUACAAUGGCUGGUACAAAGGGUUGCCAACCCGCGAGGGGGAGCUAAUCCCAUAAAGCCAGUCGUAGUCCGGAUCGCAGUCUGCAACUCGACUGCGUGAAGUCGGAAUCGCUAGUAAUCGUGGAUCAGAAUGUCACGGUGAAUACGUUCCCGGGUCUUGUACACACCG
rnacentral:rRNA from 1 species